rnacentral:lncRNA from 1 species
GUCCAGAGGGCACAUGCUGAGGGGUAAUUAGAAGCACACACUGUAAUGUGGAUGCUAUGAAAAUCAUAGCGCGGAGUGUAAAAAGUGAGGAACAGGAUACACAACAGUACCAUUUAUGUAACCUGCAGUACACCAGUCUAGAAUACACGCAGAUGUGGACAUUUCCAGACACAGUACAAUGGCUGCUCGUAGGAGGUGAUGGACAGGGGUGACCAAUGGAGGUAAAAAGGGGGCACUGGUAGCUAUGUACAUCUAAAGCAAGAGGCAUCUCCACUCAGAGCACUGAAGUCCCAUCCAUAAGGGGAGAAUUUUAACUCUAAGGAACUCACAAAGUUACAGGUGGACAUGUCUGGCAUCCUGGCCAAUUUCUAAGCUUUUCCUGUGGCCUGGGCACCGCAGGGACUGGGAGCUCGGAUCAGAAUCUGAGUAAACUGUGAGAUGUCACAGGCCAGCAACGAGAGAAAAAUCCUGUGGGGUUUUCCGGAGACUGGUGACAAGAUGGCACGGGGAUGACCAACCCUGGGAACGUGAAGACAGACUCAGCUGCCAGCAACAACCGGUGCAGCAAGGUUUGGUGUUCAUGUUAAGCAAGGUCCAUGGCUGGGCUGGCAUUUGCCAUAUCCAAACAGAGGCUGCAGACCUGUGUGCCUGGUAGGGCUCAGCCUGUGAAACUCACAAGAGACCUCUAAGUCCCCACGAGCGCCGCCUGCAGUGCGAGCUGCAGAAUCCUGAGCCCCGUGGAGCAGGAAGGACCCCAAGCUUCGGCUCAGAGCAAGCCCAGAUGAGGCCAGCCAGACGUGUGCAAGAGGAAGGGAUUGCCACACCCCAUCCACAUGUGGAAGCCAGGUUCUACAGCACUGCUGCAGCAAGACCUGACGUGCCCUGAACCGAGUUCCCUCUGCCCACGCACAGGCUAGGUUGCCAGGAGGGCAGGGAGUGGUGUGGUGGGGAUCCUGGUCUGGCCUCUGUGCUUAAAGAAAUACCUCUAAGGUUUUAUUGAUCACUGAACAGCAUUUGCUUUCUAUGUCCUGCGGCUACAUUUUUCAGGUACAGGAUGUCUUCUUUAGUCUUAAUUUGAAAGAGGUUUUUUCUUUUUUUAAACAUGAAAGGAG